rnacentral:rRNA from 1 species
UGGUGGGUUGCCUUGUCAGGUUGAUUCCGGUAACGAACGAGACCUCAGCCUGCUAAAUAGUCAGCAUCACAACUGUGGUGCGCGGACUUCUUAGAGGGACUAUUGGCGUUUAGCCAAUGGAAGUAUGAGGCGAUAACA